rnacentral:rRNA from 1 species
GACGAACGCUGGCGGCGUGCUUAACACAUGCAAGUCGAACGGUGAAGCGCCUUCCUUUUUGGUGGGUGUGGAUGAGUGGCGAACGGGUGAGUAACACGUGAGUAACCUGUGCCCUUCUUCUGGAUAAACGGAUGAAAGUGUGGCUAAUACGGGAUAUUCUGGGUGUGUCGGAUGAUGGGUCUGGGAAAGAUAUUGUUUCGGUGGGGGAUGGGUUGGCGGUCUAUCAGCUUGUUGGGGGGGUGAGGGCCUGCCAAGGCGGUAACGAGUCGCCGGCCUGGGAGGAUGGACGGUCACACUAAGACUGAGAGACACCCCAUACUCCUACAGGAGGCAGCAGUGAAUAAUAUUGCACAAUCGACACAAGCCUGAUGCAACUACGCCGCGUGAGAGAUGUACUCCUUCGUGUUAUGAACCUCUUUCGCCAAUGAAGCAGGCCUACCUCAUUUAUUGGUGGGUUGACGUUAACUACAUAAGAAGCACCGGCUAACUACGUG